rnacentral:rRNA from 1 species
UGAGCAAUCUGCCCCUGACUCUGGGAUAAGCGCUGGAAACGGCGUCUAAUACCGGAUACGAGCUGCGAAGGCAUCUUCAGCAGCUGGAAAGAACUUCGGUCAGGGAUGAGCUCGCGGCCUAUCAGCUAGUUGGUGAGGUAACGGCUCACCAAGGCGUCGACGGGUAGCCGGCCUGAAAGGGUGACCGGCCACACUGGGACUGAGACACGGCCCAGACCUCGUACGGGA